rnacentral:lncRNA from 1 species
UAUAGGGGACUUACAGGAUAGCAUUUGAAAUGUAAAUAAAAUAUCUAAUAAUAAAUAUUCAAGACAAGGACUCACAUUGAUCCAGAGAAAGCUCUCACUUGGGCUGUGCAUUUUGGACAUGAUAUUCUUGAGAUUUUUUUUUCCCCCUUGUCUCUAGCUACAUCAAAGAGUAUUGUUUUUUUAACCAUUGAUUGAUUGGUUUUUGGUAGAGGCAUUCUCCUUUGUGUGCUGUUAUGGAGGCUGAUGUGUCCUGCUUGAUCUGAGUAGACACAUGUAUGUUGUGCCAGAGGAGGCUGCAAGUGUGUAUCGGGUGAAACUGGAGGCAGGGAUGGCUCCAAACCCUAGUUGUGGUAUGCUUGUGUGUCCUUUGCCCAAGACGGAAAUAAAGAAAAUCUGGUAGGAAAACAAACACACAUACACACAAACACCAACUUUUAAGCAGUCUUUCUAUUUUGUUUAAGGCUGUGUAUAACAGUAGAUCAGAGCCUAAAACAUGGAAUUUGGUUGGGGAGGGGACUAGUUUGGGGACAUUUUGGGGAACACACUGGCACAGAGGUACUAGUUCUGGGGUGACAUCGGGUAUAAGGUUCGAAGGACAUACAGCGGGUGGUUUGGUAAUGACUUCAAGGUAAUAAGCAUUUGCUCGGGUUAGGGCUUCCAGGAAGCACUGGUCAUCCGAUGACUAGACACUGCAUUAGCCAGGGUUCUCUAGAGGAACAGCAAGACAAAAUGAAUAUAUAUAUAUUUAUAUUUAUUUAUAUAUAAUUAUAUAUAUAUAUAUAUUUAAAAAGGGGUUAUGGCUGGAGUAGCCCAACAAUGGCGGUCUCACCCCAGAGCGGCUGACAGGUCAGUGGUUUCUCAGCAAAGGCUGAGUGUCUCGGCCAUACCAGAGGAUUGAAGGAUUCCUGGAGAGCUGCUGGUCUAGGGCUAUGCCGGAAGCAGGUAGGAGCCAGUUCUAUUAGCAAAGAGAUCAACAGAGAGAGCAAGAGCAGGUGAAUCCGCAGUGAGCACAGAGGUAAGCACGAACCAGAAACUUUUCUUUUUCUAUCUUCCUUUCUAUGUGCUCCCACCACAGGGCGCCCUCCACAUUUAAACUGACCUUCUCACUUGAAAUAAUCUGACCAAGAGAACCUCUCACUGAGCCAGGCAGUGGCUGCACACGCCUUUAAUCCCAGCAUUCUGGAGGCAAGGGCAGGGAGAUCUCUGUAAAUUCAAGGCCAGCUUGGGCUAGAGAGCAAGUUCCAGGACAGUCGGGACUACACAGAAAAACCCUGUCUUGGAAAAGGAAAACAAAACAGAUAGACAGACAAACAACCACAAAACAAAACAAAAACUCUCACUGGAGUGCCAGUGGCUAGCCUGAUUCCAGGUCCAGACAAGUUGCCAUCAAGUUCAGCCAUUGCAGGCAUCUUUAUGAUUUUACCUCACAGAAGAUUUUACCUCAGAUCAGUCCCCAAGGCCAUCCUCCUGAAGCAACUGCAGCUCCUUAUAUUGGGUGAGAAGGAAUAUACUUUGUUCUUUUUGUGGGUGUGUCAGCAUUCUUGAUUUUGUGCUCAGACAGAAUUCUGAAUUGCUUCGUCUUAUUGCUCUGCUGCUUCACAGUUAUCAUGCCUGUGUCUGCAGGGCAGGUUUUAUGAAAAAAAUGCUGUGUUUUACUGAAUAUGUGGAUGUAGCUGGGAGUGUCAAGCUAUCUCCUAGCUGCUUUUCUGUCUCUCAAUGGCUAAGCACCAAUAAAUUGCGAACAGUACAAAAACAAAACAAAUGAAC